rnacentral:rRNA from 1 species
GACGAACGCUGGCGGCGCGCCUAACACAUGCAAGUCGAACGGAAGUGUUCAAUCGGAAGUUUUCGGAUGGAAGAAUGGACAGUUUAGUGGCGAACGGGUGAGUAACGCGUGAGUAACCUGCCCUUCAGAGGGGGACAACAGUUGGAAACGACUGCUAAUACCGCAUAAAGCCUGAGGGUGAAAGCAGCAAUGCGCUAUCAGAUGUGCCCAAACGGGAUUAGCUAGUAGGUGAGGUAAAGGCUCACCUAGGCGACGAUCUCUAGCUGGUCUGAGAGGAUGAUCAGCCACAUUGGGACUGAGACACGGCCCAGACUCCUACGGGAGGCAGCAGUAGGGAAUAUUGCACAAUGGAGGAAACUCUGAUGCAGCCAUGCCGCGUGUGUGAAGAAGGCCUUCGGGUUGUAAAGCACUUUCGGA